GACAGAGGGUGCAAACGUUGUUCGGAAUUACUGGGCGUAAAGCGCACGUAGUCGGCUUUGCAAGUCGGGUGUGAAAUCCCCGGGCUCAACCUGGGAACUGCAUCCGAGACUGCAUUGCUAGAGUAUGGGAGAGGGAAGCGGAAUUUCUGGUGUAGCAGUGAAAUGCGUAGAUAUCAGAAGGAACAUCAGUGGCGAAGGCGGCUUCCUGGACCAAUACUGACGAUCAGGUGCGAAAGCGUGGGGAGCAAACAGG
rnacentral:rRNA from 1 species